rnacentral:rRNA from 1 species
UAGUUGGUAAGGUAACGGCUUACCAAGGCGACGAUCAGUAGCCGACCUGAGAGGGUGAUCGGCCACAUUGGAACUGAGACACGGUCCAAACUCCUACGGGAGGCAGCAGUGGGGAAUAUUGCACAAUGGGCGAAAGCCUGAUGCAGCAACGCCGCGUGAGUGAUGAAGGCCUUCGGGUCGUAAAACUCUGUCCUCAAGGAAGAUAAUGACGGUACUUGAGGAGGAAGCCCCGGCUAACUACGUGCCAGCAGCCGCGGUAAUACGGAGGGGGCUAGCGUUAUCCGGAUUUACUGGGCGGAAAGGGUGCGUAGGCGGUCUUUCAAGUCAGGAGUGAAAGGCUACGGCUCAACCGUAGUAAGCUCUUGAAACUGGGAGACUUGAGUGCAGGAGAGGAGAGUGGAAUUCCUAGUGUAGCGGUGAAAUGCGUAGAUAUUAGGAGGAACACCAGUUGCGAAGGCGGCUCUCUGGACUGUAACUGACGCUGAGGC